GAUGAACGCUGGCGGCGUGCCUAAUACAUGCAAGUCGAGCGAAGCGGGGACGGGUGAGUAACACGUGGAUAACCUCCUAUAAGACUGGGAUAACUUCUGGAAACCGGAGCUAAACCGGAUACUUAUAUAUGGAUCCGCGUUGCAUUAGCUAGUUGGGAAGGUAACGGCUUACCAAGGCAACGAUGAAUAGCCGACCUGAGAGGGGGAUCGGCCAAACUGGAACCGAGACACGGUCCAGACUCUUACGGGAGGAAGCAGUAGGGAAUCUUCCAAAAUGGACGAAAGUCUGAUGGAGCAACGCCGCGGGAGUGAAGAAGGUUUUCGGAUCGUAAAGCUCUGUUGUUGGGGAAGCGGUAAUCAACCAGAAAGUCACGGCUAACUACGUGCCAGCCGCCGCGGUAAUUC
rnacentral:rRNA from 1 species